rnacentral:lncRNA from 1 species
AUUGAUUCAUCAAAUAGUUUGGAGUUAUUUGGGUCCUUAAUAUACAUCAACUAACUCUAAAACUACCAAGGAACCAUAACGUACUAUGCAUGAAACAUGCCUCUAGUAUUGGUUUGGAUUUCGAGGUAUCACAAAUAGCCAUAGAGAAUAUAAAUAAAUUAGGAGCUCCAUCAUGAACCUUAGACUAUUCAGAUCAACUAGAUGUUGUAUGUGAGCAAUGUGCCUCUAAUCUUUGGGAGCAAGUUGAUCCAAGAAAACUUGGUACUUCCAUCAAAACUCCUCUAUGGUUAGUGGGAUUGUAGCCCAAAAAUAAAUAUUAAAUGGAUAUGUAUAAAACAUCAAAGACCACUAAUGUGGUGCUUUAUCCAGGUGCCCUUAAGUGUAAUACUAACAUCGACGUUGUUGCCUCAAAUAUAGUCAUACAUUAGCAUGGAAGGUCAUAUACAUGCAUUAAGGAUGUAGAUUCCGAAACCACCUUCCCAUGCUCCUAGAUCUGAUAGUUGCUACAAAAUAUGAUAAAUUUUGGAAAAAUAUUAAUGGUAAGUGAUUCCUCACGAUUCCUUAUGGAAAGCAUCAUGUAGGGGUACUUUCCUCAUAGAGGUCAGAGAAAGAAAUCCCCUAUUCUAUCUCCACCUUUAUUGGAAUAUAAAGGGAAAAGUUUGUUUGUUA